rnacentral:ncRNA from 1 species
CGCCGCAAGGUGUCCAGUGCGGUAACGCGACUGAUCCCGGGGAGAGUUCUCUUUUCUUUGUGAAGGGCAGGGCACCCUGGAAUGGGUUCGCCCUGUGAGAGGGGCCCAAGCCCUGGAAAGCUUUGCAGUUCCGGCGGCAUCCGGGGAGCUCCUGCUGGCCCUUGAAAAUCCGGGGGAGAG